UACGAAGGGGGCUAGCGUUGUUCGGAAUCACUGGGCGUAAAGCGUGCGUAGGCGGACCUGUAAGUCGGGGGUGAAAGCCCGGGGCUCAACCUCGGAACUGCCUUCGAUACUGCGGGUCUCGAGUCCGGGAGAGGUGAGUGGAAUUCCUAGUGUAGAGGUGAAAUUCGUAGAUAUUAGGAAGAACACCAGUGGCGAAGGCGGCUCACUGGCCCGGAACUGACGCUGAGGCGCGAAAGCGUGGGGAGCAAACAGG
rnacentral:rRNA from 1 species